CUAACACUCUAUAAAUAUGGAAAAUUCGCUGAAAAUGCAAUAGAAAAAAAGCAAGGAAAAACAAAAUUCAUUCGAUCAUUUCUAACGUGCUCAUCAUCUGAGGAUGCUGCAUUCCUCCGCCGACAGCCCCCGCCUCCAGCCUCGGUUUCUUCUUUAUUUAGGUUCUGGUUUAAUUAUUUCAAGGUUCUUGAAAUUCAACUACUAGAUGGGUUCUCUUGUAUGCUGUCGAUUUCUACUCCGGAGGAUAAGGGUGCGGGAUUAAAUGCAAGAAUUGCAGUGGAGGCAUUGAUGUUGGUCCACAACUUGUGAGGAGAAUAGCCAAGACGACUACCAUCAUUGGAGAUUCUCAGGGCUCUUUCCUUUGGUUAUGGUUGUUUUUUUCAUUUGAUUAUAUUCUGUGGUGAUGUUGUGAUUUUGGUUGCUGUAAAGCACUUGGUAUGAAUUUUGCUUGUUUACCUAUUAUCAGUUAUGGCAUGAAGAUAAAAAAUGAGGAGAAAAUUCACACUCGGCUUUUCUGCUCUCACAUCACUAAUUCUUUGUGUUUCUCAACGGAUAUUAUUAUAUUUUUUCUGAACUAAUAAACUGGUCAUGUUUAUCUGUUAUUGGUAUUCACAUCUUGACGCUUCUUUCUUAAAACAGACGUAACUUUGCUUAUUCCACUUGCAUCCUGUGUGUCUUCCAAAUUCGUUGUACAUUUCUAGAUAUUUUUCUAUCAUUUUGCUUUAGUGAUACAUAGAAAAUUCGCUGAAAAUGCAAUAGAAAAAUAACAAGGAAAAACAAAAUUUAAUCGUUCAUUUCUAACGUUGUCAUCAUCUCAGGCUGCAUUCCUCCGCCGACAGCCCCCGCCUCCAGCCUCGGUUUCUUCUUUGUUUAGGUUGUGGGUUAAUUAUUUCAAGGUUCUUGAAAUUCAACUAUUACAUGGGUUCUCUUGUAUGCUGUGGAUUACUACUACGGAGGACAAGGGUGUGAGAUUUAAAUGCAAGAAUGCCAGUGGAGACAUUGAUGUUGGUCCACAACUUGUGAGGAGAAUAGGCAAGACGACUCCCAGUUAACAACUUAAUGCCGGUGGAGAUGAUCUUGCACUAGUUUUCAUGUCCACUCGCUGAUUUGGAGUGUGAACCUUUUGCACCAGUUUUAAUGUCGAUCGGGUUCAAGUAGUUCGAAGUAUGAGCUUGAAGAAACCAGCGACCAUCUUUAUUGAAAAUAAGAAUCAAGUGUAUUUGGUACUUCGGCCUUCUUUGUACUAUGUGAAAAAUUGUUGCCUGCUCCAACGGGUCUGGCUUCUUUCUUAACCAAAGAAAUGAAAAUUUUGAUUCAAAAUCAA